UGCAUCUUGAUGGUUGUGUAAAAACUUUACACCCUAACGUACAUGGGUGUAUUCUUGCUAGAAGAGACGAAACGCAUCACAUGGAAGCUCUUAGUAAACAUGGAAUUGGUACAAUUGAUGUGGUUGUGGUGAAUUUAUACCCCUUUUACGACAAAGUUACUUCAACGGGAGGAAUAGAUUUUGAAGACGGAAUUGAGAAUAUAGAUAUUGGUGGUCCUGCCAUGAUAAGAGCAGCUGCAAAGAAUCACAAAGAUGUCUUGGUGGUGGUUGAUUCAGAAGACUAUCCUGCACUUCUAGAAUUUCUUAAGGGAGACAAGGAA